AAUGAACGCUGGCGGCGUGCCUAACACAUGCAAGUCGAGCGCGAAAGACCUCUUCGGGGGUUGAGUAGAGCGGCGGACGGGUGAGUAACGCGUAGACAACCUACCCUGGGGUACGGGAUAACACUUCGAAAGGGGUGCUAAUACCGUAUGAGCUAUACCUUACUGAGGUGAGGUAUGGGAAAGCGUGUCUCUGAUUGUAUGCACGCGCCCUGGGAUGGGUCUGCGUCCCAUUAGCUAGUUGGUGGGGUAACGGCCCACCAAGGCGACGAUGGGUAGCCGGCCUGAGAGGGUGGUCGGCCACACUGGGACUGGAACACGGCCCAGACUCCUACGGGAGGCAGCAGUGGGGAAUAUUGGGCAAUGGGCGGAAGCCUGGCCCAGCGACGCCGUGUGAGGGAAGAAGGCCUUCGGGUCGUAAACCUCUGUUAGUGGGGAAGAAGGCAUAAGGGUUAAUAGCCUUUAUGUGUGACGGUACCCACAGAGGAAGCACCGGCCAACUCCGUGCCAGCAGCCGCGGUAAUACGGAGGGUGCGAGCGUUAUUCGGAAUCACUGGGCGUAAAGCGCGCGUAGGCGGCUAAUCGAGUCAGGUGUGAAAUCCCACGGCUCAACCGUGGAAUUGCACUUGAUACUGGUUGGCUAGAGUCUGGCAGAGGGUGGCGGAAUUCCCGGUGUAGGGGUGAAAUCCGUAGAUAUCGGGAGGAACACCAGAGGCGAAGGCGGCCACCUGGGCCAAGACUGACGCUGAGGUGCGAAAGCGUGGGGAGCGAACAGGAUUAGAUAUCCUGGUAGUCCACGCUGUAAACGAUGGGCGCUAGAUGUGGGUCCUGUAGUAGGGGUCCGUGUCGGAGCUAACGCGUUAAGCGCCCCGCCUGGGGAGUACGGUCGCAAGGCUGAAACUCAAAGGAAUUGACGG
rnacentral:rRNA from 1 species